GAAAAAUGGACGCAGUUUGCCCUGUCUCACUUAUUUCUCCUGUUUCCAGUCUUGCUCUGGAGAGACCACUGCUGGGUUUCAACGUGCUGGAAGAGAUGAUACAAGAACAACCUGAAAAGCUGAUUUCAACCCUCGUCGUCCUACUCUUUAAUGCCUUGUGUAUACCAGCAGAGAAGGCAGAGCUACUGGUGAGCUUCAUCCAAGCCAGCAAACCCUCUGUGCAGUGUGGGCGCCUACGGACAGGCAGACAGGACAUUGUUAUCCCAGCAGGUCAGGUAACCUGGGUCAAGUACCAAGUCACAAGUCACACCCUCCCCACAUGAGUACAGCUGACGCAGUCUUCCUAUUUGAGCCUGAUGACAACAAUGUGCAGUUGACAGAACUGGAUGUGGGUGAAGGUUUGUUGGAGGUACAAAAUACAAGAAAACCCUAUGUAGCUGUACCUGUGGGUAACAACACUAAACAUGCAGUCACUCUACCAAGAAAGACAGCACUUGGCAGCAUCCACUGUGUUGAAAAAGUGAUCGCAACAGACUUACCUGAAGCACCCAAGCCCACAGUGACUGUUAACAGUGCUGUAUCAACACCUGUUGACACCCGUCCAUCGCCAUGGCAACCUCCCAUCGACCUCAGUCACCGUAUGCUGCCCCAGUUGUCUGUGUUAGGAAGAAAGAUGGCAGCCUACGUCUUUCUAUUGAUUAUCGCCUCCUGAACAAAAAGACUGUGCCUGACCGACAUCCGCUGCCCAGAAUACAAGACCUGACAGACUUAUGCUGCAUCCCAUAUCUGGAUGACGUGCUGUGUUAUGCAAGAACAUUCGAUGAACAUGUGGAGGCCCUCCACAAAGUUCUCCAGGCUGUUCAACAGCAUGGAGUAAAACUGAGACCUGACAAAUGUGAGCUUUUCAGACAAGAAGUCAGGUACGUGGGGCGCCUUGUGUCAGCUGAUGGUGUUAAGAUAGACCCACAGGACCUUGAAGCAGUCAAAACCUUGACAAGCAAGACACCACAGACAGUGAGGUAAGGAAACUGACCGGCUUCCUGGGAUAUUAUCGCUCAUACAUCCCAGAUUUUUCCAGGAUCGCAAAGCCAAUCUAAGAGCUUCUCCAAACGAAGCCAGGGAAAGCCCAGAUUCCAACAUGUGGGAAAACCACCAAACGCCCACAGCUGCCUUCCAGAGAGCCCGUUGACUGGACCCCUCAACAUCAGGAAGCCUUAGAGCAACUGGUCACUCUCCUUAUAACCCCACCUGUUUUAGCAUACCCUGAUUUUAACCUACCUUUCACACUGCAUACAGACGCCUCAGACCAGGGCCUGGGGGCUGUCCUCUAUCAGCGCCAGAAUGGAAAGCUGAGAGUCAUUGGCUAUGGCUCGAGGACUUUGACACCGGCUGAAUGUAACUACCACCUGCACAGUGGAAAACUGGAGUUCCUCGCAUGGAAAUGGGCUGUGUGUGAAAAGUUCCGGGACUACCUGUACUACGCUCCCCAUUUCACUGUGUACACGGACAACAACCCCCUGACCUAUAUCAUGAGUACAGCAAAGCUCAACGCUGUUGGUCAUCGGUGGGUGGGAGAACUCAGAUUUCCGGUUGGACAUCAGGUAUAGGCCUGGAAAAUCAAAUGUGUAUGCAGACACACUGUCUCGCCUCCCCUUGGACAUGGAAAUAUAUGAGGUGGCUUGUACAGAGAAGUUCUUGAACGAGGCAGUGUGUGCUACAUGGGAUGGGAGUCAGGCAGCAGAAUGGAAGGAUGUGGCCUGGGUUGCAGCACUUAACAUGUGUUCCCCCGGAUCCUCCCCCACAACCUCAUUGUCACCUGCCAGCUAUCAGCCAUGAUGAUCUUGUUGAGGCUCAAAGAGAGGAUCAAGCCAUAGGCAAGAUUAUUGAGUUAAAGGAGUCAAACACAAAACUGAGAGAUGACAUAUGCCAAACUGUAAGUGGAGCCACCCGAAAGCUGCUGCAUGAGUGGAGUAAGUUGCAACUUGAAGACUGCCUCCUCUACAGAAGGACGAACCAGCAAAAGCAGUUAGUCCUCCCUCUGAAACACAGGCCGAUAGGUCUGAAGUACCUACACAAUGAGAUGUGUCAUGUAGGCACAGAAAGACUGCUCAAUCUUGCUCUGAAAAGAUUUUACUGGUCAUUUAUGGCUAAAGAAAUUGAAGACUAUGUCACCCGAAAAUGUCCCUGUAUCAGGUCUAAGAAACCCACGACACACACUCGAGAUCCUAUGGGCAGCAUCACAUCUAACUUCCCUUUAGAGCUUGUGUGUAUUGACUAUUUGCAUCUGGAAACCAGUUGUGGGGGAUAUGAAUAUAUUCUAGUAGUGAUUGAUCAUUUCACUAGAUUUGCCCAGGCAUACCCCACGAAGAACAAGAGCGGGAAAACAGCUGCUGAGCGCAUCUUCAAUGAUUUCAUACCCCGGUUUGGAUAUCCAUCCAAACUACAUCAUGACCAGGGUCGUGAAUUUGAGAACAAACUGUUUCAAUCAUUACAGCGACUGUCAGGGGUUGGCCACUCGCGGACGUCGCCCUACCACCCAUAAGGCAACCCAGCUGAGCGGUUGAACCGCACCAUCCUCCAGAUGUUAAGAACAUUGACUGAUAGUGAGAAACUGCGGUGGAAGGAUCACCUCCCGCAUGUUAUACACGCAUACAAUUGUACCAGACAUGAAUCAACCGGCUACUCACCGUUUUUCCUCCUCUACGGCCGUCACCAUCUCCCAGUCGACUUGCUGUUUGGAUUGGUUGGAGAUAGGGAACCAUACUCACCUAGAGGAUUUGCAUAGAAAUGGGCUAAAAGGAUGUCAGAAGCCUACCGCAUUGCCGGCGAGAAUAGCAAAAAGUCCAGUGCAAGGGGAAAAGUGACAUAUGACAAGAAAGCAAGAGGAGUUGUACUGCAACCAGGGGCCAGAGUGCACACUCAGUCAGAGGUUAGAAGGUCCGCUCGUGAGAGAAGGCCACGCCAUUUUCUCACAUAUGAGUCAUUAGGUGAACCAUCAGUCCAGUCACACGCCACAGUUAACUCAGUGACCGGAUACACAGCACCCUAUAUACCUGUCAUAGAGGCACCUCAUCACACUGCACCUGCACACUCACUCUUUCCAUAGAGAAAGCAGUGGAAAGUAGCUCUAAGAAGGGAAGAGUUUUCUACUAGCCCGUCGUCAAUGCUUUGCAGAGAUCAUUUCAGACCAACAGGUCAGACAGUCAGUCUCAGAUGGAGCUAUUCCUUCUGGCGUCUGUUUCCCAGCUCAUCUCUAAAGGCCUGUGGCUACCGGUACAUCUCAGACCUCAAAGAAGACUCAAGAGACCCUGUCAGUGGACUAUUCACACCUCAUCCAAGAGACUGAACCCCUGCCUGUGCCCGAUGUUGAUCAGUGCAAUGGAUAGAGAAAGGAGGGCAAAGAACACUGUAUGGUCUUCUGGAAGAUCUCAGGGUGAAGAAACUCAUAAACGAAGAGCUGAUAUAUAGAUAUUAUUUAUUAUAUCAUUAUCAUUACUAUGUUAUGUCUCUGGUACUAUGGUUAUUAUUUAAUUAAUAUUGUUAAUUAAUAUUAUUCUUAUUAUUACACUAUAUUGACAACUUUAACCUUUGGUACUCUUAUCUGUACUUAUCAUUAAAUUAUAAUACUAUUAGCAUUUUUGUUAAUUACACUAUUAAUUAUCAUUAUUACUACUGCUGUGUGACUUUUAUUAGUAUUAUCACCAUUGUUGUCUGUAUAAAUAUAUGUAAUAUAUUAUGGUGAUGAAAAAGUUCUGCAUUUUAUUUAUUUAUUAAUUAUGUUUUUGUUGUUGUUUUUUUAAUGGUGUUUUUGUUGUUCUGUCCGCAUCUUCUUGGAUGUGCUUCUCUCUCCUCUCCUUUCUUUCUCUCUCUCUCUCACCCAAUUGGUCGAGGCAGAUGGCCACUCACUUAGAGCGCAGUACUGUAUGAGGUUUCUUCCUGGUAAAGGGGAGAUUUUCCUGCCACUGUCGCUAAGUGCUGCUCAUGUGGGAAUGUUGGGUCUCUUUCAUUUAACCCUUGUGCUUCACUAAGACAUUUCUGGCUUUCAUUUUUUAUCUUCUUGAUAAUUUGGGCUGUGUUCAUGCCUAUGGCAUCAAAUUCUCCAAGGUUAUUCUUUUUAAUUAAUUUUUGAUUUCAAUCAAUCACCCAGGGCUUAAAAUGUAUAACAUAAUUUAGCUAUAUUUAUCUCUAUGGGAGAUAAUUUAUUAAUUGAAAGUAGAAAAUAAUAUUAAUUUAUAAUAUUUGUAUGGUUUUCUAGACCUGCUCCAUGUGUAAAGUGCCUUGAGAUGACUUGUGAUUUGGCGCUACACACAUUCAAUAUUUAACUUCCAUUAUCAUCACAGUAACAACGUUACAUACUCUGGUAGCUGCAGCACUGGAACAAACAUUAAUAUUUACAUUUAUAAUCAUCAGAUAACAUUAUAUACGUUGUUUUUGCUACCUAUCUGUUUCCCAAAUAUAUUAGUGAAUGGGUGAAUGAAAGGCAUUAACUUAAAGCAGUUUGUAGAAAAGUGCUUUAUAAAGUUUACUCUAUUAACUUGUAUUAGUUCACGUUGCAGAUCUGCCACAUCCAAUAUGGCGGACACGCUGACGUAUCGCAGCAACGGGCCAACCCGCUCAGUGAGGGGUCUAUGUCUGUGGUUUGACCUGUGUCACUUAUUUCUCCUGUUUCCAGGUUGGUAGAAUAGUAAAUUAAGCCAAGUUACUGAGGUGUAAUAUGUUGACAUGUCGCUGAAUUUUUUAAUGUCCGCUAAUAAGGCUGUUUUAUGAAUAUACGGACAUAUAUGUACAUAUAGCAGUCGCUACAUUUUCGCGCCUGAUAACGUCACCUGUUGCUACCAAAGUCACGUCGGUCAGAGUUUUAUUUUUUUAUCUCCUUGAACAUUUUUGUAAAGUCUAAUAGUUUUGAAAUGUAUGAUAUUGUGUAAAAUGUGAAAAGCUAAUGUUAAAAACUGAGUUUAUGUACUGUAAAACGGUUAAAAGCUAAUGUUAAAAACGAAUUUUGUAUAUUUUAAAAGUGGUUAAAAACAAGUUAAAAAUCUGUCAGCUCAUGCAUUUUGGAAGAGUAAAAUAAUUUUAGUUGGAAAUGGAAAAUGCAUUUAGGAACCAUGUAAGUGGUAACAUAAGCUAUGUUUUAUAUGUAAAUGGUAACAUAAGCUAUGUUUUAUUUUAAGCUGAAAAGAGACAACUUACAGGGUAACAGUGAUUAUUGUCAUUUUGAUUGAUUUAAUCACACAAAACGUAUAACUCAGUAUUUGCUGAGAAAUGAGAAAGGCAAAUUGUAUUUUAUUUUGAAGUCAUGUUUAUUUCAUAGUGAACAUUGAGUGUUUGUAACAGGAGGAUUUAAAUUGUGAAUGCUUUAAUAAAUGAUCUCCUCUUUCUGCUGAGCAAGAUGAAAAACGGA